GUCCAUGCCGUAAACGAUGAGUGCUAAGUGUUGGAGGGUUCCGCCUUUCAGUGCUGCAGCUAACGCAUUAAGCACUCCGCCUGGGGAGUACGACCGCAAGGUUGAAACUCAAAGGAAUUGACGGGGGCCCGCACAAGCGGUGGAGCAUGUGGUUUAAUUCGAAGCUACGCGAAGAACCUUACCAGGUCUUGACAUCUUCUGCCAAUCUUAGAGAUAAGACGUUCCCUUCGGGGACAGAAUGACAGGUGGUGCAUGGUUGUCGUCAGCUCGUGUCGUGAGAUGUUGGGUUAAGUCCCGCAACGAGCGCAACCCUUAUUAUCAGUUGCCAGCAUUCAGUUGGGCACUCUGGUGAGACUGCCGGUGACAAACCGGAGGAAGGUGGGGAUGACGUCAAAUCAUCAUGCCCCUUAUGACCUGGGCUACACACGUGCUACAAUGGACGGUACAACGAGUCGCGAAGUCGUGAGGCUAAGCUAAUCUCUUAAAGCCGUUCUCAGUUCGGAUUGUAGGCUGCAACUCGCCUACAUGAAGUUGGAAUCGCUAGUAAUCGCGGAUCAGCAUGCCGCGGUGAAUACGUUCCCGGGCCUUGUACACACCGCCCGUCACACCAUGAGAGUUUGUAACACCCAAAGCCGGUGAGAUAACCUUCGGGAGUCAGCCGUCUAAGGUGGGACAGAUGAUUAGGGUGAAGUCGUAACAAGGUAACCA
rnacentral:rRNA from 1 species